GAAAAAAAAAUUUAAAAUUUUUCCAGCCCAGCAGACGGAGAAAAAUUUUUAUGACCGUUGAGGCCCAUUCGAAUUUUUUUUUUUUACCCGUUAGGGCACGCACUCUCGCGUCGGGCUCCCCUCUUUUCAUCUUUUUGACCUCGCCUUCCUGUUUCUCCUGCUCUGCUUCCUCCUCUCCCUCGUUCCACCACCGCCACCAAGACUUUGACGACCCACAACGCCAGCAGUACCAAGAAGGGCUGGUCUACCGGAGCCCGGACGAGCUUGCCAACCUCAAGAGAUACGACCCCUCGCCAUCUUCAAACGAUUUCACGGACGAUCGCGGGUGGCUGCUCAACUCCAUCGCUGCUGCACAGCGAGCAGGUUUUUCAGGUUGCUGAAGUUGCUAAAUUUCUAUAAAAUGUUGGGACAGUGCAAGAUUUGACAAGCUCAUUACAGAAAAUUGAUGCAACAGUUGCAUGCGUGCAUAUGUGUGUGUGUGUGUGAGAGAGAGAAAGCAUGGAGUCCCCUUUCCGGCGACCAAAGAAGUUUCAGGCGUGUUAGAUGUCGACAAUGUCGACUUGUCUGAGCCGUGUGGAGAUUGCGUUACCAAAAGCGCCAUUGCCUGCACGGUUGCUGCGGUCAGCGGAAGAAGCUCCACCUGAUGACCCUUACGCCAAUGCCACAUCCGCCACCGAAUCCUCUCUUUUCCGGUCUGGCAUGCAUCGCCGCCCGAGAAGAACGUGACCAUCACGCAGAGCGAUCUUGUGUUGGUGGAAAGAGUGAAUGACUUCUUGGGUAAAGACUGUAAGGGCGAGUAGACGACACCGCAUAUUGGACCGACUCCGAUGGCGACGCCGUCAUCAGAUAUUAUUCGAGGAAAGAAAGAGGUGAGACAGAAUUGAGUUUGGUUAAGUUCUUCUUUUAGCAGUCCUUUCACUUUCCUUGUCACUUUCUUUGCAUCUUGGAAACCAUGAUAAGAUGAUGAGGCCGUCAAGAACGAGAAGGCGGCUCUGGAUGAAAGAGUUCGAAAAGGAAGACGGACAGAAUGUUUCACAAUGGAGAAUGGUGCGUGUGUAUUGCUGAGGGAGAUCGAAGGAAAGCUCCACCGACUGGCGAAGAUGAUGGAUGAAUUUACCCUCCGGAACGAUGCAAACAUACAUACCUACAAACGAUGGGCAGUCAUGCUGCCAUCAUACGCCAGCGGUCGCAGCUGACAUCGGCGCCUCCGCGACCACCAUCUGUUGCUUCUGUCAUUGCUAUAAGUCAUAUAGGGAAGCCAUGUUUGCCGAUCAGAAUGAGGAGGCAAAGCCCUCUUACCUCGUUGACCGCGAGCGUUCCCUUCUUGAGCGGCCAGUGGCGAACUGUCACGAGAGAGAGAGAUGAUUACCUGCGUGAGAGUGUAGCCUGUGAUCAAGAGAGAGUAAGAGUGAGACCGUUUGAUCGAAGAGAAAGCGACUUUCGACCAAUGGAGGAAAAAAAAGGAGUUUGGAGAGGGGGGUAUGGCAUCGGAUUCGAGGGUUAGGGGUGUAACAAGUAAGGACAGUUUUUUCUGUUCUCCAAACACCCUCGAACACUUUGUCCUCCACGUUGUUCUUAUCCAUGGCUGUCAUCGAUUUCCGAGGACAGAGCGUUCCUGUAACGACAUGUUGCAUCAACCAAACACCCUCUUGGGUAGCAAGAGUAGGACAAUUUAUCUAUUAUAUUUAUUUUUUGAAAGUAACAAAAUAAUGCAUAUGUAGUAAAUAUUUAAUAAAUGAUUUUCUUGUAGCAUUGGAUUACGCCCAUCCUUAUAACACUGUUAUCUCUCUAACAGAACCUUUUAUUUAGUACAGAAAAAUCACAUGUGCAGAAGUGUUUCAGAAGAAGUGAAGAACAUUGCGUUUUUCAAAUAUAUAUUACCAAAACACUGCCUUCUUGAUCCAAAGAAUAUGUUGUCAGUAUGUCUGGAUUUAGGAACAGCGUCCAUAAUUUUGUAAUGUUCAUUGAAACAGAAUAUGGUGUUCUUCAAAUAUAUACAUGAAGUAGUAACAGCAAAAGCAAAGGCAGAUGGUGGUCGCAGUGCUCUGUCGUCACUGCUUCAUCCGCUAUUAUUGCCUUAUGCUGUGUGGAUUUUCGCACCAUUCUGGAAGGUAAGCUUCAUCGUUAGCUUUUGAUAAUCUUGGCCAUCAAUGUCGUAUCGUCAACAGGAAGCUGGAUUCUGGUUUUGCUUAUGUACAUGCUAUCCUCCGGCCGUGUCUCGACCAAGAAGUCAGCCGGACACAUCGUGUACUAAAAUUAACAAGGUAAAAAGAGCUCACCGUUUCCAAGAUUCAAAGUAAGUGACAGGGAAUGUGAAAGGAGGGCUCGUUCGACAAAGAUGAAAUUAACGAGAUUCAAGGGAGCUCACCUCUUUCUUGCCUUGAAUAACGGAUGAUGGCGUUGCCGUAGAGUCGUUCCGAUAUGUGGUGUCGCCGGGGUCAUCCUUACAUCCACGACGUGUCUGUCACUACCCAAGACGUGAUUCACUCGUACCACCUAGGCAAGAUCGCUCUGCGUCCUCAAGAUGCUCGGGUUAGUCUCCGGCGGCGAUGCAUACCAGUCCAGAAAUGUGAUGGACCAUUGUAGAAAGGUCGUCUGUGGAUGUGAGAAUGCGGAAAGGUCAUCAGAUGGAUCUUCUUCGGCUGACCGCAGCAAUCGUGCAGGCAAUGGUGCUUCUUGGCAAAGCAAAGCAGCAAGAAUUAGCAGUAUAGAGGCAAGAUCAGCGAUGCAACCGAGUGAGGACAAUAAAAGAACUUGGUUGUACUAAAAUCAGAUUUCUGUAUGAUAUAGACGUUAACCAAUUUUUAAUAAAUUCGGUCAAAUGAAUUUAAUUUUUCUAGCUGAAAACCAAAGAUAAAUUUUGUACUCAAAAUAGAAUUAAUAAUAUAAAAGGUAUAAGGCGACGCCAUCAGGAUGUUUGAGGCAGGAAAGAGAUGCAGCAGAGGAAGGUGAGACCGUCAAGAACCAGAAGAAGGCUCUCGAUGCAAGAGGUCGAAAAGGUGAAGAAGGAAGACGGACAGAAUGUCUCGGCCAUGGAAAAGAACGUGGAGAUGCAAGGGACGAUUCUUGGCUUAAUGAAGAUGAAACUGGAGAAAAUAAACCGGGGAGACUAAUACCUCCGGCGGCCUCUCCGUCUUCUCAAGGACUGGAGAGAGAGCAAAGAUUCUGGGUCGGUGCUUCUUUAGGACGUACUUAAUUUAGCAUCUUCUCUGUUUGAUGGACUGGAAAAGUCCGAUAAUUUCACCGAUGAGCACAAUGUGGCCGACCUACUUCUUCGUCCAGACAGGCAUGGAGGAUAGCACCAGAAUCAGGGAUCCGGCUUAUUGUUGAUGAAGGGACAUCCUGGGAUCAAGACAACGACUCCCAACUGGUAGCAUUCCAGCCGAUGCUAAUGGCGAGAGAAUUACCAGAAGGUGACGAGAAAUGGCUGCCAGUAGCAGCACCAAGUUUACAAAUGCUUAUUAUCGGUUUGAGAUGAUUUUAAUAUGUCUGGUUGGCAUCACGUGUAUAUUGCUGAGGGAGAUCGAAGGAAGCUCCACCGACUGAGGAAGAUGAUGAAGGAACUUACGCUUAGGAAGGAUGCCAACAUUCCGACAACCGAUGGGCAGCCAUCCUACCAUCAUUGGUCGGCCAUGCAACGGCAGCUUUGCUGCCAUCAUCUGCCAUUGUGUCGGCCAUUAAUGCCACUUCAUCUAGGGAAGCCAUGUUUGUUGGUAAUCAAAAGCCGAAGCCCUUUCACGUCGUCUGCCCCUGCAGUAGAUGCUGCAAGUUUUAUUCUUCCGAACUUGUCGUUGUUGGAAAUCUUAUUCCUUUUAUAAAUUCUUUUAUUCGUCAGUGUACGA